rnacentral:rRNA from 1 species
UACGUGAGGGAGCAAGCGUUGUCCGGAAUCAUUGGGCGUAAAGCGCGCGUAGGCGGCCCCGUAAGUCCGCUGUGAAAGUCAAAGGCUCAACCUUUGAAAGCCGGUGGAUACUGUGGGGCUAGAGUCCGGAAGAGGUCGGCGGAACUGCGAGUGUAGAGGUGAAAUUCGUAGAUAUUCGCAAGAACACCAGUGGCGAAGGCGGCCGACCUGGUCCGGUUCUGACGCUGAGGCGCGAAAGCGUGGGGAGCAAACAGG